AAAGGACAUCACCCCUGUCGUCUACUCCAUUGUUGCAGAGCUUGCAAGGUUGCUUUUCUCCGCCAUCGGCACGCAACGGUGGACGGGGAGCCCGUACCUACUGCACGUGCCUGUCAGGGAAAAAAAAAAUCCCGACAUUGCCUCAUCUGUUCCGAUCAGAUCCUGUGGACGUGGGAGUAUGGGAAUCCUCUGGCUUUGAGCGGGAAAGAGGAAGAACAUGAAAUCAGGAUGAUAAUCUAAUUUAUUGAGAAAAAGGCGAAAAAAGUGUAAUGACACAGGAUCUCCAUGAAAUGUGAUGUGAUUCUUUUUUAUAUACUAUAGAGUCUUCCGAUGAACUCAUACGAUGGGGGUGCGUCCGAUGUAAAUAAUAUCUUCCCGUCAAAGAUUUACGAGCAUCAAAACUAUUGCAUCGAUCUUAAGGAUGUGAACAGCAGGAAAUCCAGUGAGAUUUAUUGACACAGAAGACAACAGUUUAUCCGAUCGUUUAGCUUGCAUUUGGUUUUCGAGUUGUUAUUCAUACAAUACAACAGUCUGAACAAGUCCUCACUGUGCUCAUACUUAAAAAAAAAAAAAAAAAAA